rnacentral:rRNA from 1 species
CCUACGGGGGCAGCAGUGGGGAAUAUUGGACAAUGGGCGAAAGCCUGAUCCAGCCAUGCCGCGUGUGUGAAGAAGGCCUUCGGGUUGUAAAGCACUUUCAGUGGGGAAGAAAGCCUUGGGGCUAAUACCCUCGAGGAAGGACAUCACCCACAGAAGAAGUACCGGCUAACUCCGUGCCAGCAGCCGCGGUAAUACGGAGGGUGCGAGCGUUAAUCGGAAUUACUGGGCGUAAAGCGCGCGUAGGCGGUCUGAUAAGCCGGUUGUGAAAGCCCCGGGCUCAACCUGGGAACGGCAUCCGGAACUGUCAGGCUAGAGUGCAGGAGAGGAAGGUAGAAUUCCCGGUGUAGCGGUGAAAUGCGUAGAGAUCGGGAGGAAUACCAGUGGCGAAGGCGGCCUUCUGGACUGACACUGACGCUGAGGUGCGAAAGCGUGGGUAGCAAACAGGAUUAGAUACCCCGGUAGUC